CUGCGCUGGUUUUGAUAGUAGCCGGAAGAAUAUUCAGUGUAUUUUUUUUAGCUUUCAGCCACGUCGUGAAAAGAAGUGUGAUGCCAGGACACGCGAGCAACACCCAACUUAUUCUCCUUUUGAUGUUGCUCGCUGCAACUUGCAACAUCAGCGAGUGCAAUCGUAGAUGUGGCAUCCCUUGCACACGUGAGUUGAAACCCGUGUGUGGCUCAGACUUCCAAACCUACAAUAAUAUGUGUAUUUUGAGAAGCGAAAGAAUGUGUUCCAAGCCUGGACUAUAUGCUGUACGUUCCGGUCGGUGUUAAAGAUUCGUUCACCAACAAAUGUGGAUUCUUCUGUUACCUGUAAGAUAUCGGCAGCACUGCAACGCUGAAGUAUCCUUGCAACAUACGCAACCUGAGAAGACCUUAGUCAUAUAACGGCUAAGGUGACCUUGGUGGUGUUAACAACGCAUAAAAAAAGUCAAAAUAAAUAUUUCA